rnacentral:lncRNA from 1 species
AUAAACUUGGCUGCUAUCAUGGAGCGAGCUGAUGAAAAUCUCCUUCCUUCUGUUUACAAAGAAGUCAGUGAGCAUCUAGGCACGCAUAAUUUUUUACCCUUAAACAAGUAACCAUCAUGCCUAUAAAAAGAGUUAAAAGCUUCAUGCUCACAAGCCACAAACACAUUGCCGAAAUUCGCAUCAUUAAUGUACAAGUCCUUAACAUGCUCAAAACCAAGCAAUUUAGAACUCACCGCAUUAAUUAAAGCAUACCUCCUAGACAAAGCAUCUACAACCACAUUGUCUUUCCCAUGCUUAUACUUAAUCACAUAUGGAAAUUGUUCAAUAAACUCAACCUACUUAUCAUGCCUCUUAUUCAACUUGCCUUGUCCCUUUAAGUGCUUUAAGGACUCAAGAUCAAAUGUAUCCCAAACCCCUUGGGCAGGAGAUAGUGUUGCAACACGUCCAGCGCUCUCACCAAGGCAUACAACUCCUUUUCAUAGGUUGAAUAAUUGAGAUGUGCUUUGUUCAACUUUUUGCUGAAAUAGGCUAUUGGUUUCUUUUCUUGCAUCAGCACAGCCCCAAUACCUACGCCAGAUGCGUCACACUCAAUUUCAAAAGUUUUAUCAAAGUUAGGUAAAGAUAAUAUAGGAGUGGAUGUUAACUUCCCUUUUAAGCAGUCAAAAGCUUUCUGUUGCUCCUCUCCCCACUUGAACCGAACUUCCUUAAUAAUUCCUGUAAGUGGUGCUGCAAUCGUAGAGAAAUCCCGCACAAACCUCCUAUAAAAACUUGCAAGGCCAUGAAAUCUCCUCACAUCUGAAAUAGAUUUAGGAAUAAGCCACUCCUUUAUAGCUUUCACCUUCUCUUCAUCUACCUCAAUUCCCUGUGCGCUCACAACAAAACCAAGGAAAACAAGUCUAUAUAUAUACAAAAUGUGCACUUCUUAAGUUUAGCAUACACGCUUUCUUGCCUCAAAACCUGCACAACCAACCUAACAUGCUCAAUAUGUUCGUCGAGAGACCUGCUAUUGAUCAAGAUAUCAUCAAAAUAAACAAUUAUAAAUUUUCCCAAGUAUGAACGCCAUAAAUGGUUCAUCAGCCUCAUAAACGUCCUAGGUGCAUUCGACAAACCAAAAGGUAUAACUAACCAUUCAUACAAACCAUACUUUGUCUUAAAUGCAGUUUCCAUUCAUCACCAGGUUUCAUCUUAAUCUGAUGAUAUCCACUCAUAAGAUCAAUUUUUGUAAAGUACCUGAUACCAAUUGACGUGGAACCCUAUGGCACAAGCAUCAAACCCAAACGCAGAAGUAGAUAUGGAAUCCAAAGAUUUGAUAAACUAAGCUGAUGCGGAACCCUAUGGCACAAGCCUCAAACCCACAUGCACAAGUAGAUAUGGAAUCCAAAGAUUUGAUAAACCCACGUCCUAUGGCAGCCCACACUUAGAGAAGCUGAAACACCAAUGAUCGAAGGAUUUAGAUGAGAAUUUGACAAACGCCACAACGAAUAGUUGAUAAGUUAGCUAAGAUUCUUGGUGCAAUUGAUGAAAGCAAAUCCUCACUCUCACUCAAAGCAAUACACGCCAAAGGCAUGAAAAGAAUUCUGAAAAUUUAGAUUCAAAGCUGCCUCUUACAAGUGUUUCUUAUCUUUAUAUAGUAAGGAGAAAACAAAUAAAACCCUAAGACUCUUUUUAGGCCUGGCCGAACUACACAUAAGGCCCAAACCCAAUUACACACUAAAAUAAUGCAUCAAACUCAUAAGUAUUAAAACAUAAGUCCAAGAUAUAGCCCAACACUCUAAAACUUAAAAGAUAAAAUAUAACCAAGAUACAAGCCUAAACAAAGCCAAAAUAAAACAAGUGUUUAAAUAAUAAAAUAUAGCAAGCCCACUAUAACAAAGUUGAAUCUUCACAAAAGCCAUUCUUGAUCUUUACUUUAGGCUUCCCUUUGUGUAGUUUUAGCCAUAGGUUUGAUUAGGCUCCUUAAGCCUAUGAUUGCAAGUGUUGCACUAAAUCUGCCCCAUAUGAGUUGAAACAUGCCCCAAAUAUAUAUGAAUCAUAUGAAUAUAAUUUUGAACUCCUUUUAGAUCCAUUUGAAUGACAUAAGUUUGCUCCACACCAUUGUUAAAAGUUUGCCUUAUUGGAUCCGUAUCAUUCCCUCCUUCUUUAGAAAAGAUUCGUCCUCGAAUCUUGCUGAUAUUUAUGUUAGGAAGGGAAGUUUUAGGAAUCAAUGCAUCUUCAAAGACCUCUUCUUGAAUAGGUGGAAAUAGCAUAAAACUUUCAUCAACAACAUGCAUAUUAAGAACAAAUAAACUAGGCAUAAAAAUAUUAGUUGUAAAAAGAUCCUGUGGAUGUGACCAUUCUCCUCUAUAACUCCCAAAACAGCCUCGAUCAUUCAGCUCAUCAAUCACGUGCUCCCCAUGUCCACCAUCAUUCACAACCUCUUCUAUACGCUCAUUGAUGGAAUUUUCUGCAAUAACUACAUUAACUUCAUGCAUUAUAACUUCCUCUUCAAUUUCAAUCUCUAUGGAAGUUGAGAUUGAAACUUUAGCCUCUUCUUUCUCCUUUUCUUUCUCCAUCUUUCCUCCUUUAAUUAGUAUUGUCAACUUGUUGUCCAAAUCCCUAUAAAAGUGUGAAGGGAUGAAUCUCUGGCACAUCAACUGUUCAUCUUGAACUUGAGGCCUAUUGGAAUUAAGAGUUCUUUGAGGCAUUAUUGUUGUAGUAGGAGCUUGUGAGACAUUCAAACUUUCCAUAGUUUCAGUCAACCUCUCAAGAGUCUUACAAAUCCUUGUAAACUCACUACCAACUGACUUUUUGAAGAGUUUAUAAUUACUAGCCAUGUCCCAUUCACUUUCAUCAUCACUAUCCACUAUAUUUUUGUAUUUACUCAUCCUGCCUUAAAUCAAUAAAGAACAAAGAGAACUAGCAAAUAUGGUGUUAGAAAUAAAAGCACUUAAGUGUUUGCACUCUUACUACUCUUUUGCUGUUUCAUCAAUUGCACUUCAGAAACUAAAGUCAACCAACCAACCACAAGGUGCAUUUAAAGAAACCAAGAAGAAAACCUAAAGAAAGAAGGAAGCGCGCAAAACUAGAAAGAAGACACUGACAAUUUGGAAAGUAACACAAGAACUAGGUUUUGUGCUACUUGAAAAAUAUCACCUAGAGUAUAGACACAAGCAAACAAUACUCUAGCAAUGUCAAGGAAGUAAAAGCAAACUUAAACCAAAAAAGAAAACUUAGAAUUCAAAUAAAAACGAACCUGGACAAAAGUUUGAAUUUAAUUCACUUCAAAGUAAAUUAAAUAUGGAUAUAUUUAAAUCUACCCAAAAAGGCAAGUAUCAAAACACCACAAAUAGAAUUAGGAAAAAAAAAUUAAAUUUCACUCAGUUCAGAAUCAUGGACAGAAAUUCUGGUGUUAAAAGAAGGAUUUGACAUUGUAGAAGGAUAAUAUUUGUUAUAUUUCACAAUAGAGAUUACAACCUAUUUAUACAUGAGAGACGAUAUCUAAACAGGAAGGAAAAUCAAGCCUAUGAUUAUACAAUCUCUAAGAUUAAGCAACUGAUCCAUCUAUCAAUAUUUACUUCCUAUAUUAACAUAUUUACUUUCUAUAACUUAUAACACUCCCCCUCAAGUUGGAUAAUAAAUGUUAAUCAUGCCCAACUUAUUACAUAUAUAAUCAACUCGAGUCUCAUUUAGAGAUUUAGUGAAAAUAUCUCCUAAUUGUUCUCCAGUUUGGAUAUGUCCUAUUGAUAUUAUCUUUUGUUGGACCUUUUCACGAACAAAAUGACAAUCAAUCUCGAUGUGUUUAGUCCUCUCGUGAAAUACUGGAUUGGAGGCAAUGUGGAUAGCCGCUUGAUUAUCACACCACAACUUAGCAGGCACCGAAUUUGUGAACCCAACUUCUUCCAACAGUUGACGUACCCACAAGAUUUCACAAACGGCUUGUGCCAUGGCUCGAUAUUCAGAUUCAGCACUAGAACGGGGGACCGCAUUUUGCUUCUUACUUUUCCAUGAGACCAAGUUACUAUUGGGAAAUCCAGAGAUUAUUGCAACCCAAAUUGCGCAACAAAAAAAUAAAAUCUUUGAUUUCCUUUCCCAUAAUUCGAGUGCUUCGUUUAUUUCAAAGGAAGUAUAUGAGACUAACCUGUUAAUCUCGUCGAGAAGAUAUAAUGCCGGACUGAUGGUGAUGCCUUUUCAAACGAAUACCCUCAAUGGUAUCCUCACGAACGUCUUCUAUCCUUCUAGAGUGUUAGCUCUCUCAAGGAUGGAUAGAUUAUGUGCUCCACAAUCUGCAACUGUUAGACUGAAUUUUCUAAAAGUUUUUUAUCACUCAUAAAUUUGUAGAAGGAGUAUUUAUAUGUUUCAGUCUUUUGUUUUUCUAUAACUCUUUUCCCAAAAGAGUUGUGUUCAGAACCCACUAUCACAAUCUCACAGAUACUCAAAUAUCUUAUGUGAUAGAGUCCUUUAUCUAUAACAGUUACAGAUAGACCGCAGAUCUUUUAAAUAUUAUUAUCUUAUAAUAAAUAAUUAAUAAUAAUAACACUUUAUUAUUAUUAAUUAAUAUUAAUAAUAAUAACACUUUAUUAUUAUUAAUUAUAUUAAUGGGCUUUGGGCUUUUAGCCUAUUAAUAUGUCAUAGCAGAUCAACAAUGUUCUUUUGUGUGCGACCCAAUAGACUCACAUUAAUUAGUAAUAGGCCCAGUCCCACAAGGCCCAUAAGUCAUAAGUGGUCUCUAGCAAGACAUUAUGACUACCCAACUAAUAUGAGGAUCAAUAGUCCGAUAAAGCCUAAUAAAUAGAACAUGUAUUAAUCCCUUUGUCACACGAUAUCUAGUUUGAAUAUAAGUCAUGGUCAAUGUCAAACUUAUAAUGUUUAAACUUAUGAUUUCUCGAUCUCUAAGUAGACUGAUCAAUUCAAAUGAUAUUGAUCACACUAUCAAUUCAUUUGAGCACGGCCAUGCAUUUCUUAGUCUUACUUAUCGAGGGGCCCAGAAGAUAUCUCUCUCAGAGAGAGGGAUAAAUCCUAUCUUGAUUGUUCAAUAUCCUCUACAUAAUUUCUAUUAUGCUCAAUCAUAACGUUUAUGAUUGUCCGAUUAAAGACAAUGUUUGGUUAUGUCAAAACAUAACAGUCAUUAUGUUGGAAACUAUGACAAUCUCAAGUCAAAGGAUUAAAACAUAACUACUUUGAGAUUCAGUUAUGACAAUAACCCAUGUAGUGAUCUCAAUGCGGGUCCAUCCAAUAUUUUGUUCUCUAACAAGUAUCUAUGAUUAUGGAAUUAUAUCAACAUAUACAUAAUUAUCUCAUGAUUAUCAAUCAAUAAUCAUACUAACUAUAUUUUUUUAUUAUCAACAUAAUAAUAAGUAACUAGGGAUGUAAAUCAUUAUUAUGUAACAUGCAAACAAAUAAUAAUGAUAAUAAAAACCUCUUUUAUUAAUAAUCAAAAUGACAUACAAAAAGGUCCAAGAUAAUGACCUAGGGUAAAAACACUAACAAUCUUCCACUUGCACUAGGCCUAAUCAUACAAGUAUCUAAUACCCAUAGACCUAGUGUGCUAAUCAUGCUUGACCUGUGAGAGAGGCUUGGUCAGUGGAUCUGCAAUGUUGUCAUUUGUGUCUACUUUGCAUAUUUUGAUAUCUCCUCUAUCAAUGAUCUCUCGAAUAAGGUGAUAUCGCAUGAGUAUGUGUUUAGAUCUCUGAUGAGAUGUGGGCUCCUUUGCCUGUGUUAUGGCACCAUUGUUAUCACAAUAAAGGUCCAUAGGAUUUGCAAUGCUGGGAACCACUCCUGACUCUGUGAUGAAUUUCUUCAACCAGACUGCCUCUUUAGCUGCAUCUGAUGCUGCUAUAUACUCAGCUUCUGUUGUAGAAUCUGCUACAGUGUUCUGCUUGGAACUUUUCCAACUAACUGCUCCACUAUUUAAAGUGAAUACAAAUCCUGACUGCGAUCUGAAGUCAUCUAUGUCGGUUUGGAAACUAGCAUCUGUGUAACCAUUUACAAUUAGCUCGUCUUCCAAACCUCCAUAAACUAGAAAUGUAUCCUUAGUCCUUCUAAGGUACUUUAGGAUAUUCUUAACAGUUAUCCAGUGACUUUCACCGGGAUCUACCUGAUAUCUGCUCGUUGUGCUCAAGGCAUAUGAGACGUCUGGUCUAGUAUAUAACAUGGCAUACAUGAUAGAUCCAAUAGCAGAAGCAUAAGGAUUCUUAUUCAUCCGUUUUCGCUCAUCAGAUGUCAUAGGACAUUGAUUCUUGCUGAAUACCAUGAGACAUGGGCAAGAAUCCUCUUUUAGAAACUUGCAUGCUGAACCUUUUCAGCACCUUGUCAAUAUAAGUACUUUGACUUAGACCGAUUAUCCUCUUGGAUCUAUCCCUAUAGAUCUUAAUACCAAGGAUAUAUGCAGCCUCACCUAAGUCCUUAAUUGAAAAAGAAUUCCCUAACCAAGUCUUAACAUUUUGCAAGGUAGGGAUAUCAUUUCCAAUGAGUAAUAUGUCAUUCAUAUAUAGGACUAGAAACACAACCGCACUCCCACUAACCAUCUUGUAAACACAAGGUUCAUCUUCAUUCUUGAUGAAUCCAAAGUCCCUGACUGUCUCAUCAAAACGAAGAUUCCAGCUCCGAGAAGCUUGCUUCAAUCCAUAAAUGGAUCUCUGAAGCUUGCAAAUCUUUCUAGAAUUCUCAGGGAUUACAAAACCCUCAGGUUGUGUCAUGUACACAUCCUCGAGCAAGUUUCCAUUAAGGAAAGCUGUUUUGACAUCCAUUUGCCAUAUCUCGUAAUCAUAGUAUGCAGCAAUGGCAAUGAGAAUUCUAACCGACUUAAGCAUUGCAACUGGCAAAAAAGGUCUCAUCAUAGUCUAUACCAUGAGUUUGCUUGAAACCUUUUGCAACAAGCCUUGCUUUGUAGGUAUGCACAUUUCAAUCCAUGUCAGUUUUCUUCUUGAAAACCCAUUUGCAACCAAUAGUCUUAACACCUUCAGGGGAUCAAUUAAUGACCAAACUCGAUUGUCAUACAUGGAUUGCAUUUCAGAUUUCAUGGCAGAAAGCCAUUUCUCAGAAUCUAGACCUGACACAGCCUCUUGAUAGGUAGUAGGCUCAUCUUGAUCAAUGAGCAAAAGUUCACGACUAUCAGUCAUGAGAAAUCCGUAUCUCUCAGGCUGAUGACGUGUCCUAUCAGAUCUGCGUGGGACUUGUGUCAACCUUUCAGUUUUCACAACUGUUUGCGGUUCUGAAAGUGGUUCUACCGGCGGUUCAAUGCUCUCUUGUGGUGCUUGAGUUUUCCUCAAGUCGCACUGUACUCCCACUGAAUCUCUGAGUGAUAAAUUCCUUUUCUAAAAAGGUACCAUUUCGAGCAACAAACACUUUGUUCUCUGUGGGAAUAUAGAAAUAGUAUCAUUUGGUUUCCUUAGGAUACCCCACAAAAUUGCACUUGAUAGAUUUUGGAGCUAGCUUAUCUGAAAUUGGGCGUUUAACAUAAGCCUCACAACCCCAAAUCUUAAGAAAAGACAAACUGGGCAUUUUGCCAGUCCAUAACUCAUAUGGUGUUUUUUCAACCGCUUUCGAUGGUACUCGGUUUAAAAUGAAUGCAGCUGUUUCCAAGGCAUAACCCCAAAAUGAUAAAGGGAGAUUUGUUUGACUCAUCAUAGAUCGAACCAUAUGUAAUAAAGUUCGAUUUCUCCUUUCAGAAACACCAUUCCAUUGUGGAGUUCCUGGAGGAGUCAAUUGUGAAAUAAUUCCACAAUUUCUAAGAGAUUCAUCAAACUCUUGGCUCAAAUAUUCACCACCUCGAUCAGAUCGAAGCAUAAUAGUUCUACCAAGUUGAUUUUGUACUUCAUUUUGAAAAGUUCUAAACAUUUCAAAUGAUUCAUGUUUAUGUUUCAUUAGGUAGACAUAGCCAUACCUACUGAAAUCAUCAGUGAAUGUAAUGAAGUACUGAUAACCUCCCCUGGCACUAAUGCUUAGUGGGCCACAUACAUCUGUAUGUAUUAAGCCCAAUAAGUCUGAAGCCAUUUGACCUUGUCCAGUAAAGGGUCCUUUGUCAUCUUACCAAGCAAAUAAGAUUCACAAUUUUCAAAUGAUUCAAAAUCAAAUGAAUCUAAUAAACCAUAUUUAUGGAGCUUAGAUAUGCGAUUCUCAUUUAUAUGGCUAAGACGACAGUGCCAUAAAUAUGUUGGAUUUAACUCAUUUGGCUUAGUUUUCUUAGAAGUUAUGUUAUAGAUAUUGUUGUCUCUAGAAUCAUCUAGAUUAAGGACAUAAAGGCCAUCAUAUGAAUUUGCAAUACAAUAAAGCAAACCAUCUUUAUUAAUUGAGCAUUUCUUAUUUUUAACAUUGGGCAAUACAAGUUCAUAAGUCCCUACAGCUAAGGCAGCAACUCUUGCUCCAUUGCCUACACGUAGGUCCACAUCGCCCUUUUUCAGUUUUCUACUCCUUUGAGACCCUGCACAUUUGUACAAAUGUGGGAGCCACAUCCGGUAUCUAAUACCCAUGAAGUAGAAAUAUAUAAAUUAAUAUCUAUAACAUAAAUACCUGAAGUCGUAGUCUCACUACUCUUCUUCUUCUUGCACUCAUCCAAAUAGAGUUUGCAAUUUCUCUUCCAAUGCCCUGGUUCCUUGCAAUGGAUGCAGAUUCCUUCCUUAGGAACUAUUUCCUUAGGAACUUUUACCUUGGUUUGCCAUUUAGGCUUGACUCGUCCCUUAGGCCCAUUACCACCUUUAAGCUUGGGCUUCCCCUUAUUUUUCAUGGGCUUACUCUUAUUGACAUUCAAAAUUUGGGUAGGCAUUCUCUUGACAUUUACCUCAGUUAUCUUUAGCAUCCCAUGCAGAUCAGGAAUGGAUUUCUCCAUAUUGUUCAUGUUAUAGUUCAUGACAAACUGAGAAAAACUGCUAGGUAAAGAAUGUAGGAUCAAAUCCGUAGAGAGUUCUAAACACUAACAGUUACCUCCCACAAAAAUACAAUAUCCAGUAGUUGACCUCCUAUCAACUUUCGAGCCUGCCCAAUCAGCAUCAGAAAAGCAUUCAAUAUUUGAGUACCCAUGGUUACUAUAGAAUAGGUCUCGCCCUGGGGCCCCUUUAAGGUAACAAAGAAUCUGUCCCAGAGCAUCCCACUGGGCAACAGUAGGAGAGGACAUAAACUGACUUACCACACUCACUAAAUAUGCAAUAUCAAGACGAGUCACCGUCAAAUAAUUCAGCUUGCCAACUAACCUUCUAUACCUUCCAGGAUCUGUAAAUGACUUACUGUCUUCUGUGGUAAGUUGAAGGUUAGGGGUCAUUGGGGCACUACAAGGCUUAGCACCUAAUUUUCCUAUUUCUGCCAACAAAUCAAGAAUAUAUUUUCUUUGAGAUAAGAAGAUGCCUUUCUUACACCGCAUAACUUCGAUUCCCAAGAAAUAUUUCAAGGAACCCAAAUCCUUUAUAUGAAACUGUGUUUUAAGAAAUUAUUUUAGGGAUGUGAUGUCAGCAAUGUCACUUCCUGUAAUGACGAUAUCAUCCACAUAUACUACAAGCAGAAUUACUCCACUAUCAGAAUUUCUAUAAAACACUGAGUGAUCACACUUACUCAUCUUCAUUCCAAACUGUUGGACCACCUCACUAAACCUGCUAAACCAUGCCCGAGGACUCUGUUUCAAGCCAUAAAGGGAUUUUCAAAGUCUACAAACCUUACAUGACUCCUCCUGAGCAACAAAACCAGGUGGUUGCUCAAUAUAAACCUCCUCCUGAAGAUCACCAUGAAGAAAAGCAAUUUUAAUAUCCAGUUGAUACAAAGGCUAAUCAUGAGUAUCCGCUAAGGAAAUAAACAAUCGGACAGAUGCGAGCUUGGCAACUGGGGAGAAUGUAUCAGAAUAGUCAACUCCAUAAGUUUGUGCAUAAUCUUUGGCCACUAAAAGGGCCUUGAGGCGAGCAAUAGAUCCAUCAGGGUUUACUUUCACUGUAAACACCCAUUUCCACCCAAUAGCCCACUUUUCUGGGGGUAAGGACAUCAACUCCCAAGUACCAUUAGUGUCAAGGGCCAUCAUUUCCUCUUCCAUUGCAGCACGCCAACCAGGAUGGGACAAAACCUCAAUAACAGUUUUGGGAAUUAAAAUAGAAUCUAAAGCAAUGACAAAACAACGAGAAGAGGAGGAUAAUUGAUCAUAAGAGACACAAGAUGAAAUAUGAUAAGUGGAAGUACGUUUACCUUUGCGAAGAGCAAUGGACAAAUCGAAAUCAGACAGUGAAGGAUCAGUGGGAGCAGGAUCAGUCGACGAAGAAGCGGGUAGCAGAAUGGAGUCAGAGUCCUCUAAGCGUCUGGAAUACAAAUGAAAGAUGGUAGGGCGACCUGGCACAUGAGCGAAAGGUGUAGGAGUAGUCUGAGGAGACAGAGAGCGAAUAGUGUAUAACAAGAGGUCAUCUUCCUCCUCCUGGGUAUUAUAAACAGAUGAUGGCGAAAAAAACGGAGUGGACUCAAAGAAUGUUACAUCCGCAGACACAAGAUACCAAUUCAGAUUAGGAGAAAAACAACGAUAUCCUUUCUGACGUCGAGAGUAGCCAAGGAAGACACAUUUGAGUGAUUUGGGAUCCAAUUUAGUAACCUGUGGACGAACAUCACGAACAAAACAAGUACAACCAAAGAUACAUGGCUCAAUAGGAAACAAAGAUUUAGUGGGAAACAAAAUGUUAUAAGGGAUAUCACCAUGAAGAAUGGAGGAAGGCAUGCGAUUGAUCAAAAAACAAGCAGUGGAUACAGUAUCAGCCCAAAAACAUUUAGGUACCUUCAUUUGGAAUAAGAGGGCUUUGGCUACUUCAAGAAGAUGCCGAUUUUUUUCUUUCAGCAACUCCAUUUUGUGAAGGAGUGGCAACACAAGAGGACUGAUGAAGAAUCUCUUUUUGUAACAAAUAAGAUUGAAAUUCCCCAGAGAGAUACUCUUUAACAUUAUCACUUUGCAAUAUACGGAUGAAAGUAUUGAAUUGGGUUUGGAUUUCAGCAUAAAAUGCACAAAAAAUAGAAAAUAAUUCUGAACGACUCUUCAUUAAAAAUAACCAAGUAGUACGAGAGAAAUCAUCAUCAAAAGUAACAAAAUACUUAAAGCCAGACUUAGACACAACAGGACAAGAACCUCAAACAUCUGAAUGGACUAACUCAAAGGGGGACGAAGCCCGUUUAUUGACUUGAGACAGUGUAGGUAAACGAUGAUGUUUUGCAAAUUGACAAGACUCACAAUCUAGAAUAGACAAAGAAUGAAACUGUGGAUAUAACUUCUUCAAAGCAGUGAGAGAAGGAUGCCCCAAACGACAAUAAACAUCAAAAGGUGUUAAACGCGUGGAGCAUACCAGAGAUCGAGGAGAUAGAGGUAGUUGCUGAUCCAAGACGUAAAGACUCUCUGACUCACUCCCUCUACCAAUAAUCUGCUUCGUCGAAAGAUCCUGAAAAAUACAGUGAUCAGAAAAGAAUGAGACACUGUAAUACCCGGCUAGACUCCGGUAUCGGAAUCCCUACCGUCCGGUGGGACCUCGGAUGUCGGAAACCUCUAGAAGGGUAAAACUAUGAUUUUAUGAAAUGUUUUCAUGUAUUUCAUGGUUUUAAGUAUGAUNNNNNNNNNNNNNNNNNNNNNNNNNNNNNNNNNNNNNNNNNNNNNNNNNNNNNNNNNNNNNNNNNNNNNNNNNNNNNNNNNNNNNNNNNNNNNNNNNNNNNNNNNNNAUCAUGUAUAUGUUGUUAUGUAUGGGAUUCCACAGGUUGACAGGAGGUAUGUAGGCUUGCUACGGGUCCCGGCGGCCUUAAGCCGAUCUGGAUCCUAGCGCCGGUAACGGGUCGGAUUUCCGGGUCGUUACAGACACAACAAUUCAAUGCACGAGUUUACUAACGGAAAACAAAUUAAAUGCGAACUUAGGGAGACAUAACAUAGAGGAUACAUAAAGAGAAGGGGUUAAGUUGACAUGACCAGAACCCAUGACAGAAGAUAUAGUGCCAUCAGCAAGAGUAACAAAAGAAGGCGAUGUAUGAGACUCAAGAUUGGACCAAAGGCUAAAAUUACCUGACAUAUGAUCGGUAGCACCAAAAUCAAUAACCCAUUUGGAGGAUGAAGACACAAGACAUGCAGUAGAGUUAUCUGACUCAGCAAUUGCAGUGAUAGAGGAGGAAUUAGAGGAUUUUAGAGAUGCCUGGUAUUGGAUGAAUUGUGCAUACUCAUCUGCAGAUAUCAAAAUUCCCUAAUCGGAAGAUCCAUUCAAUUUGUAUUCUGUGAUUUUAGUCAUCAUAGGAAUCACAUCAGUUACGGUGGUGGUUUUAACUUCAGCCAUAAGGACAACCAAUCCAAAACGAUAGCAACAAAAGAAACACAGAAUCAGAAAAUAGUACCGGCGUGAACAGUACCUCUGAACAACACUUGUCAACAGUACCCGUGAACUGUACCGAUGAACAAUACUGAUGAACAAAACCCGAACGGCAAACAAACCUCAAAUCUGACAAGGGAACGAUUUGGUGACUCCAGCGAUGGUGAGAUCCAAAUGUUACCCUUUAUGGGUAAUCCAAAUGAACAGAGCUCGAAGUCUCCAAAUUUUUUUUUUAUUUAAACUUGACUAGAGAGAAAAAAAAAAAUUAAAUCUCUACGAGAAUGGCUCUGAUACUAUGUAGAAGGAUAAUAUUUGUUAUAUUUCACAAUAGAGAUUACAACCUAUUUAUACAUGAGAGACGGUAUCUAAACAGGAAGGAAAAUCAAGCCUAUGAUUAUACAAUCCCUAAGAUUAAGCAACUGAUCCAUCUAUCAAUAUUGACUUCCUAUACUAACAUAUUUACUUUUCUAUAACUUAUAACAGACAUCAAAUCAAUUUAGAUGCAAUUGCCUUAAAUGUGCACCUUAGGAAAUAGGCAGAAUUUCUUUUAUCUCCUAAUCUGGAUUCAACCCAAUUCAAAAUUCAAAAUUAAUUCCCAUAAAUUACAACCAUCAAUUGAGGUAGGUAAGACAAUAUAGAUGAAAAAAGAAGCAUAUCACAAUUUUCGGCCAAAUCAAGAUAAAUAAGGCAAAGACGUUUUUUUUUUGUUUUUUUUUAUGGAUUUCGAAUUUUUAUUUCAAAAGAGAUUAUGUGACGAUUGAUAAUCAAGAAGGUGCAGCCAUGGACACAUAAGUUUUCACCGAAAUUAACAAGGAAGAAAAAGAAAACUAAAAAAACUCUAGAUCCUGAGAUAAAUAAGAAUUUACCUCACUUUAGCUCUGAUACCAACUAAUGCGGAACCCAUGAUCAACAUGUGAUCAAAAAUUCCGUCACACAACUUGACAAAAAACAAGAUAAAGAUAUCUUCUAGAAGGUUGCUCUAUUAUAUCCCUAACCAAUGAAUGUGAUUAGAAACAUAGAUAAUAAAGUGAAGGUUGCUCUACCACACCCCCCAACACUUUAAAACUUAAAAGAUAAAAUAUGACCAAAAUACAAGGCUAAAAAAAGCCAAAAUAAAAAAAGUAUAGCGAGCCCACCAUGACAAAGCUGAAUCUUCACAAAAGCCUUUCUUGAUCUUCACUUUAGGCUUCCCUUUGUAUAGUUUUAAUCCAUAGGUUUGAUUAGGCUCUCUAAGCUUAUGAUUGCAAGUGUUGCACCAAAUCUACCCCAUAUGAGUUGAAGCACACUCCAAAUAUAUAUGGAUCAUAUGAAUAUGAUUUUGAACUCCUUUUAAAUCCAUUUGAAUGACAUAAGUUUGCUCCACACUAUUGUUAGAAGUUUGCCCUAUUGGAUCCGUAUCACAAGCUCAUAUGGCACCCCACACUUAAAGAAGCUGAAACACCAAUGGUUGAAGGAUUUAGAUGAGAAUCCGACAAACGCCACAAUGAAUAGUUGAUAAGUUAGCCAAGAUUCUUGGUGCAAUUGAUGAAAGCAAAUCCUCACUUUCACUCAACGCAAUACACACCAAAGGCAUGAAAGGAAUUCUGAAAAUUUAGAUUCAAAGCUGCUGUUUAUAAGUGUUUCUUAUCCUUAUGUAGUAAGGAGAAAACAAACAAAACCCUAAGACACUCUUCUUAGGCCUAGCGAAACCACACAUAAGACCUAAGACCAAUCACACACUAAAUAACACAUUAAACUCAUAAGUAUUAAAACAUAAGUCCAAGAUAUGGCCUAGCACUCUAAAACCUACAAGAUAAAAUAUGGCCAGAAUACAAGCCCAAAUAAAACUAAAAUAAAGCAAGUGUUUAAAUAAUAAAACAUAGCAAGCCCAUCAAGACAAAGCUGAAUCUUCAUAAAAGCCUUUCUUAAUCUUCACUUUAGGCUUCCCUUUGUGUAGUUUUUUUCCAUAGGUUUGAUUAGGCUCCCUAAGCCUAUGAUUGCAAGUUUUGCACCAAAUCUGCCCCAUAUGAGUUGAAGCACGCCCCAAAUGUAUAUGGAUCAUAUGAAUAUAAUUUUGAACUCCUUUUAGAUCCAUUUGAAUGAUAUAAGUUUGCUCCACAUCAUUGUUAGAAAUUUGCCAUAUUGGAUCUGUAUCAAAAGAGUUAAAAGCUCCAUGCUCACAAGCCACAAACACAUUGCCGAAAUCAGCAUCAUUAAUGUACAAGUCCUUAACAUGCUCAAAACCAAGCAAUUUAGAACUCACCGCAUUAAUUAAAGCAUAUCUCCUAGACAAAGCAUCUGCAACCACAUUGUCUUUCCCAUGCUUUUACUUAAUCACAUAUGAAAAUUGUUCAAUAAACUCAACCCAUUUACCAUGCCUCUUAUUCAAUUUGCCUGGUCACUUCAAGUGCUUUAAGGACUCAUAAUUGUAUGUAUCCCAAACCCCUUGGGCAGGAGAUAGUGUUGCAACACGUCCAGCGCUCUCACCAAGGCAUACAACUCCUUUUCAUAGGUUGAAUAAUUGAGAUGUGCUCCGUUCAACUUCUUGCUGAAAUAGGCUAUUGGUUUCUUCUCUUGCAUUAACACAGCCCCAAUACCUACGCCAGAAGUAUCACACUCAAUUUCAAAAGUUUUAUCAAAGUUAG